UAUCUUUUGAAGAUUGAACCUAUGCUCAAGAUUGUACAUCCUUGGUAAAAUAUUUUGGGUGAACAACAUGCUAAUCAUGUAUUUCUACUUCUUAUGGUUCAGAACUGGUGAAACAGGUUGAGAGAACAGUUAGGUCAGAGAACUACCGUUCACCGAACAGACCCAUAUACCUUGUAGGAGAAUCUCUUGGAGGAUGCCUUGCACUAGCUGUUGCCGCCCGCAACCCUGAUAUUGAUCUUAUAUUGAUUUUGGCCAACCCAGCUACAUGUUUUGGUAAGUCGCAACUGCAACAUCUAAUACCUUUUUUGGAAAUCAUGCCUGAGCAGCUUCAUCUAAGUGUGCCUUAUGUGAUGAGUUCAUUCUCAGGUAUUCCUUUGAGGAUGGUGAUGGCUACAGUGGAGAAAGGGCUUCCUCUGCAACAAACAGUUGGAGAGAUAUCACAGGGUGUUAUAGCUUUGUCAUCAUACCUUUCUGUAAGAUCCAACAUUUGCAUGUGAAUGGAAAAAGGGAAUGCUGAUACGUUUUCUUUUUGUUCAAUAAGCAUCUGAAGCGAGCUUGUUAUUUCAUGGUCACUGCAACAAGGACCCUGUUCUUGCCAUCUCCUUUGAUGCUCUCUCUCUCUCUCUCUCUCUUUUUUUGGAUAAAUAAAUGGACUUUAUUAGAAAAGCAUCAAGACGAUGCAAAGAAUACAAAAACUACCCUUAAAGGGCCAAACAAAACUAUCUAAACAAAUCUUUCACAAAAUCUACAAAAGCCAAAACACUUGGAUCAACCGAACCCAUAACCCAACUAUGCAAUACCAUCAACAACUGACUUUCUAACCAUGAGACGGAACGACACUCAUUUUGAAAAACACGCCUAUUUUGCUCCAGCCACACCAACCAAAGCAAACAAUGGGAAGCAAGA